rnacentral:pre_miRNA from 1 species
AGAAAUUAAUGUAACCAAUUUCCGACGAAUUUUCCGACGAAAUUUUUAAAUUUCGUCGGAAAAUUCGUCGGAAAUUAAAUCUUGCGGGAACAUUUUCCGACAAAUGUUCCGACAAAUUUUUAAAUUUCGUCGGAAAAUUCGUCGGAAAUUGGUUACAUUAACUUCUCU